UCUUGAAUUCCUAAGCUCAAGUGAUCCGCCCACCUCAUCCUCCCAAAGUGCUGGGAUCACAGGCAUGAGCCACGCCUGGCCUCAACACUACCUCUUGUUGGCAAUCAAUCAAUAUCUUUUAAUGUUAGAUUAUUAUUUACAGAGCCUAUUUUAGCCAUCUAGCACUUUUCUUCCUGAACAGGGCUGACAUUUAGGCUUUCUUCUGCUAAACUUAAAAAAAAAAAAUUUUGUUGAAAUAGUAAUGAGUGUAUAUCAUGGAGGUGAGAGGAUUAAUUUUAAAGCCACUGUUUCAGAGUAUGUGGGAACUUUGGCCUGGCGCUGUGUUCAGAUGUUAUAGAAUGGAUGAUACAAAACUGAAGGUAUUCUUUGCUGAAUUAUAAACCAAGAAUGAUAGUUAACUGUCCCUCAGAUCUGUACCAUCUUAACUUCUAAAUGUAAUUUUUACUGUAAAUACUUUUUAAAUAUUAGAAAGUAAUAAUUAUGCAAUUAGAAUGAUACCAGGGAGCUUUACGUUCUGCCAGGUAUAAGUGGUAACGUUUCUGAGAAUUGAAAAUUUUUAUGGAGGGAUUUGGCUUCCUGAAAACUGUGUAGGGGCAGCAAUGGCUUACACUCUUGUUAAAAGCUUGUUUAUACUGCAGAUACGAUCAGUAGAUACAGCUUCCCUGUCUAACAGGUGGCAGGUGGGGAUGGAAUUAAUUAAAGAAAUAUUCCUUGUUACAUUGGCUAGCUCACAGGCCCAAGUGUUCUUAACAGUACAGAUAAGAGAGGCUGUUUCUGGAAGCCCUGAGUUCCUUGAGACCUUUCAUUACACCUUUGAAACAUGCCCAGAAUGAAAAGAUUGAAAAAUAUAUUCAGAUGCUCAUCAUAAUCUCUGGUGAUCUGUCAAGCAGGGUAGUUUGUCAUGAUGGUAACCUUUCUGGUUUUUUUCACUUCGGUUUUUGUAUCUAAUCGGUAGGAGCAGUGACAGGGUAAGAGUCUGCACUUUAGGAUUAGAGCAGUGGUCCCGCACCUUUUGGCACCAGGGACCAGUUUCAUAGAACACAGUUUUUCCACGGAUGGGGUGGGUUGGGGAGAUGGUUUUGAGAUGAUUCAAGCACAUUACAUUUAUUAUUCACUCUAUUUCUAUUAUUACAUUGUAAUAUGUAAUAAAAUAAUUAUAUAACUCACCAUCAUGUAGAAUCAGUGGGAGCCCUGUGCUUGUUUUUCUGCAUCUAGACGGUCCCAUCUGAGGGUGAUGGGAGACAGUGACAAGUCAUUAGGUACUAGAUUCUCAUAGGAGCACACAACCUAGAUCCUUCACAUACACAGCUCACAGUAGGGUUUGUGUUCCUAUGAACACAUCUAAUGCCACUGCUGAUCUGACAGGAAGAGGAGCUCAGGCAGUAAUGCAAGCAGUGGAGAGCGCCUGUAAAUACACAUGAAGCUUUGCUCACUCACCUGCUGCUUAUCUCCUGCUGCGUAGCCUGGUUCCUAACAGGACGUGGACGGGUACUGGGGGUUGAGGACCCCUGGAUUAGAGGAUCCACGUUUUCUUUUCUGGAUGUGACCUUGAGCAAAGCAUUUUCCUUUUCUGACCCUUAAUGUUAUCACCUUUGAAAUGAAGGCUUUCAAUGGAAAUGUUCAGUGGGGAAGGAGCCUUUUCAUUUUUCCUAAGUAUUGCUUUCUUUCCUCUUCCCUCAAUAUACAUGCUGAGAAUCACUGGUGAAGUGAGUCAUUUUUACUGCAAGGGGAGGAGGGUAUAGUGGAAAGAAAGAUUGAGAACCACUCAACUCAUUUUUAGAGUCCUUUCAGCUAAUUAAACGUUCUGUGAUUCGGUAUUUUAAGUAAUUCUGAUUGAUUUUAUGCCUAAUUGUCCCACUCAGUGGAGUUCUAGUCCAGUUCUAAUGCAUGCUCGCUUCUGUGUUAUAAGAAAGUUGAAUUCUAGAUGGUUUCCAGUCUUUGUAAUCAUAAUCUAUUUCUAACAACCCAUAUAUAUACAGUUUGAACUUUGAACUUAAAAAAUCCAAAAUUUGAUUUUUUAAAUCUGAAAAACUUCUGGCCCCAAGCAUUUUGGAUAAGGCAUACUCAACCUAUAAAAAUUAAGACUUGGUUCUUGUUGAUUCCAUGGUUGGUCAUUAUGUUUACAAGGAAAUGUGUAUUAUAAAAAUGUAGCUUAAAAAGAAGAAUAUACAGUUUUUCCCUGUAGUCUUUCUUCCUGCUUCCCAGUUUCUCUACUUCUCCCUGCUCACUACUUCAUACAGUUAUGUCUCUUAAAAUUUUAAAUCUGUUAGCAUAGUUGUGUACUCGUUGCAACAUAUCCACACAUUGGGAAAAUUAAAUAUACACACAGGUAACACAAAAAGAGGCAGGAAAGUCAAUGAGCAUCAUGAACUUACUGAAGGAGUCUUCCUUUCUCAGUGACUCAUAGAAGGCUAGUUUACUCUCUAAGUUUGCUGGCUACUCCUUUCCCUGGGAAAAGGAAGUAUUAUGAUUAUUAAGUAGUAGUUAUUUUUUUGUUUAAAAUAUUCAUUUUCUUCUGUUUCUUCCUCUCUGCUAAGUUGUUGACAGUGAUAAGGGUACAAGGUAGGUAACAAUAGUGACUUUAAAAUGAGAUUUGGUGAAAGAUAGCCAAAAUCAUUUUUUUCAUCUUUACAUCUCAAAUCUGUAAAGUGUGAUUGAGGAUAAAUAUCAUUCCCAUUUAUUAAGCACUCAGUGACCAAAAAGUAAAAAAUAAUUAUUUCUCUUGUAGUAUUUCAGGAAAAUUAGAACCAGAUGCUUAAGGACUAAAAAGAAACCUUAUGGAAGAUAAAAUUAACAGUCCAGCUCUGCAUGGAGUUUGGUAUAUGAAAUGGAUCUUUUCUAUCAGCACUAUUGUAUCCUAACAUCCUAAGAUGUUUUGGUAGACACUGGCAGUACUUUUUUUGUUGUUUGUUUGUUUUUUAAGUUAAUGAAUACAAAUACAGGGAAUCUCAGGAGUUUAUGGAAUACUAGUCUUCAUUUGUCCUCUGCUCAGACACCACAGAAUUGGCUUGUUUCUGAACACCCCUUGGGGCAUAGGGAAUGCCUUUUUACUAUCAGUGUAGAGUUCUUUUUUUCCUGUGAUCCAGUUAAUGCUGUUUCUUAAUAUGUCUUCUUCCCCCAAUAUUAAAGGUCCUAUAUAUAUGUUUUUAUAAUAUUUAUAUUUGUAUGGCAUGUUACCACUUCCAGAGGAGAGCCUAGUACAGCCCUUAGAGGAUCGGAAAGGUUGCAGCUAAGUUAAGAGUUAGGGGUCAAAUAGAAUGGUCAGACCUGUAGAAUAUCUUAUGCAAAAGCCAGGAGACAAGAAAGAGACCAGCGCCCUUGAAAGCUCUGCAAGUAAUUCCAGUAUGAUUCAAGUAAUAGAGUUGAAGCGGGGGGAGCUCUGGGAUGGCAAGGGAUGGGGCCAGAAGUGUAAGCAGGAGCCAAAUCUUUAUGAAAGACCUUGUAUAUCCUACAAAGAUCUUUGGGCUUGAUCGUGAAGAAGCCAGAGAAAGCAGGGAAGUAAAAGAUCCUAUUUAAAGGAGUUUCUGGAAAUUGCCCUAUCUGCAGUUUGGUGAACAGAUUGGAGGGAAGCCAAGCUGAAGGCAGGGAAACCACACAAGAUGCUGGUGCCCUUAUCUAAAUGAGAGCUGAUGCAGCCAGUAGUCAGAGUACAGAGGUAACUGUGAAGUAAGAUUCAACAGGAUUCGAGGGACUUAGAGCAGAGGAGAAAGAAGAGGCAUAGUCAAGGAUGACUCUCAGAUUUAUGACCAAAUUAGACAUGAUAGCAGUUUGGUAAGUGAUUGUCAACAGUAGAUAAUGAAAUACCCAGAAUGAAGGUGAAAAGACUAGGUAGCUAAGGGUGGAACCCCCAAGUAGGCAGACAUUGAAGAGGACAAACAAAUUGGAGUAGAACCCUAAAUUAGAGGGAGACUGACACUAGAGAAAUGCCUUCAUUAUUGUGUUGUAUGCCAAAAGCUCAAUAUCCCUGCAGCUAGCUUCCAAAGGGGCUUUGGACAUAGGUGCAGUAUGUCGUGUGAAUGUCAACAAUGUACUUCCCCAGUGGAAGGAUGAAUUCAGUUACAUGGACUCUGCUUAUAAGCAAGGAUUGCUAAAGCUUUUGAAAAAUCCCCUCAUCUUCUCACUACCCCAUCCCUGGUAAUUUCAGGUCAGUUCCCUGGACUGACCUUACAGGGACUGAGAACACCUAUCUAUUCCUCAGACAAGAUACUUCCUACCUGAUCAGUCACACACUUACUUUAAGAGAAUUUCACUGGGUUGUAGGAUUAACAGACAGCAAUCUCACUUGCUGUGUAGUAUGCUUAGAUUUUUUUAAACAAACAGUUUAGGUAUCUAUUGCAGUUAAAACUUUAUUUUUAGCCAGCUUAUCCCAUGAAUACUAAUUUCAAUAAGCCAUUCCCCUUUGAUUUCUUCUAGUUAUGCCAUAAAUUAUAAUCCCUUCAAUCAAGAUUUAGACUUACAAUAUACAUAGCUAAUAUUUAUUCGGUAUUUGCUAUGUUCAAGCAGGAUUCUAAGCACUUUUUUGGUAAUAAUAUCAUUAAACCUCCCAGUAACCUCCCAACUUCUUUGAGUCAUGAUGUAGAAAUGUAAUGUGAGCUAUGUAUGUGAUUUUAAAUGUCCUAGUGGCCACAUUAAAAGAAGAAAAAGAAAUAGGUGAAUUUUAUCUUAAUACAUUUUUGGCCCACUAUUUCAACCUGUAAUUAUUAUUAAAUAAUUAUUAAAUAGGUAAGUAGUAAUUAUUAAAACUACUAAUGAGAUAUUUUACUUUCUUUUGAGGUACUGUUAUCUCAUUUUACUUACAAAGGGAUUGAGGCACAGAAAGGUUAAUUGAAAAGUGGUGGCAUGUCAGACACAUUCUUUCUAUGGAGCCAGAAUCCCAACAUUGCUUAGGCAUCCUUCCUCUUUACCUGUCCCAAAGUCGGUGUUAAGUGAAAAUGCAGUAGCACAGCCAAAAA